rnacentral:tRNA from 1 species
GUCAGGAUGGCCGAAGCGGUCUAAGGCCCAGACUCAAGGUUAGACACCUUCCUGAGUUAAUGGACUUCUGGUCUCCAAAUGGAGGCGUGGGUUCAAAUCCAACUCCUGACA